UAGGCCUACGGGGCGCAGCAGUGGGGAAUAUUGCACAAUGGGGGAAACCCUGAUGCAGCGACGCCGCGUGAAGGAAGAAGUAUCUCGGUAUGUAAACUUCUAUCAGCAGGGAAGAAAAUGACGGUACCUGACUAAGAAGCUCCGGCUAAAUACGUGCCAGCAGCCGCGGUAAUACGUAUGGAGCAAGCGUUAUCCGGAUUUACUGGGUGUAAAGGGAGCGUAGGCGGCCUGGCAAGCCUGAUGUGAAAUACCGGGGCCCAACCCCGGGGCUGCAUUGGGAACUGCCAGGCUGGAGUG
rnacentral:rRNA from 1 species